UACGUAGGUGGCAAGCGUUGUUCGGAAUUAUUGGGCGUAAAGCGCGCGUAGGCGGUCCUUUAAGUCUGAUGUGAAAGCCCACGGCUCAACCGUGGAGGGUCAUUGGAAACUGGGGGACUUGAGUGCAGGAGAGGAGAGUGGAAUUCCACGUGUAGCGGUGAAAUGCGUAGAGAUGUGGAGGAACACCAGUGGCGAAGGCGACUCUUUGGCCCGUAACUGACGCUGAGGCGCGAAAGCGUGGGGAGCAAACAGG
rnacentral:rRNA from 1 species